rnacentral:rRNA from 1 species
GAUGAACGCUGGCGGCGUGCCUAAUACAUGCAAGUCGAGCGAACAGACGAGGAGCUUGCUCCUCUGACGUUAGCGGCGGACGGGUGAGUAACACGUGGAUAACCUACCUAUAAGACUGGGAUAACUUCGGGAAACCGGAGCUAAUACCGGAUAAUAUAUUGAACCGCAUGGUUCAAUAGUGAAAGACGGUUUUGCUGUCACUUUUAGAUGGAUCCGCGCCGCAUUAGCUAGUUGGUAAGGUAACGGCUUACCAAGGCAACGAUGCGUAGCCGCCCUGAGAGGGUGGUCGGCCACACUGGAACUGAGACACGGUCCAGACUCCUACGGGAGGCAGCAGUAGGGAAUCUUCCGCAAUGGGCGAAAGCCUGACGGAGCAACGCCGCGUGAGUGAUGAAGGUCUUCGGAUCGUAAAACUCUGUUAUUAGGGAAGAACAAAUGUGUAAGUAACUAUGCACGUCUUGACGGUACCUAAUCAGAAAGCCACGGCUAACUACGUG